rnacentral:rRNA from 1 species
CCUACGGGAGACAGCAGUGAGGAAUAUUGGUCAAUGGACGAGAGUCUGAACCAGCCAAGUAGCGUGAAGGAUGACUGCCCUAUGGGUUGUAAACUUCUUUUAUAUGGGAAUAAAAUGUUCCACGUGUGGGAUUUUGUAUGUACCAUAUGAAUAAGGAUCGGCUAACUCCGUGCCAGCAGCCGCGGUAAUACGGAGGAUCCGAGCGUUAUCCGGAUUUAUUGGGUUUAAAGGGAGCGUAGGUGGAUUCUUAAGUCAGUUGUGAAAGUUUGCGGCUCAACCGUAAAAUUGCCGUUGAAACUGGCAGUCUUGAGUAGAGGAGAGGUGGGCGGAAUUCGUGGUGUAGCGGUGAAAUGCUUAGAUAUCACGAAGAACUCCGAUUGCGAAGGCAGUUCACUGGACUGCAACUGACACUGAGGCUCGAAAGUGUGGGUAUCAAACAGGAUUAGAUACCCUUGUAGUC